GACGAACGCUGGCGGCGUGCUUAACACAUGCAAGUCGAACGGAAAGGCCCUGCUUUUGUGGGGUGCUCGAGUGGCGAACGGGUGAGUAACACGUGAGUAACCUGCCCUUGACUUUGGGAUAACUUCAGGAAACUGGGGCUAAUACCGGAUAGGAGCUCCUGCUGCAUGGUGGGGGUUGGAAAGUUUCGGCGGUUGGGGAUGGACUCGCGGCUUAUCAGCUUGUUGGUGGGGUAGUGGCUUACCAAGGCUUUGACGGGUAGCCGGCCUGAGAGGGUGACCGGCGACAUUGGGACUGAGAUACGCAGCAGAGGCGUACGGGAGGCAGCGGUGGGGAGUAUGGCACAAGGGGCCGGAGCCGGAUGAAGCGACGUCGCGUGCGGGAUGCCGGCCUGCGGGUAGAAAACAGCUUCAGCCUGUGACGAAGCGGGUGUGACGGUACUGGGUAAAGAAGCACCGGCUAACUACGUG
rnacentral:rRNA from 1 species